CAGAGGACCCUGGAGCCCAAAGUUGCAGGACAGGAGAGGGGCCUGGGGUCAGGGAGGUGGUGUUCACCCUUGGCCGGGAGGGGCUUCUCCCUUGGAUGGAAACCCAGCCUUCAUUUUAAUAAAAGGGCUACUAAUGCGUGUUAGGCUCUCUGGGGUGGGUUGUUCUGUAAUGAAAUGAAGACCUUGUUUAGCGCCUUUGGACAAGGCUUAUGCUUUUUUUUAUGGAAUCUUCGGGCUUUAGAGCUGAACAGAACUCAAGCCAUCACUGGUCUCCCAGCCAUCCACCCAGGGGCCCUGGGUGCCAGGAGGCUCUGCAUUUAACCAGAAGAUUCUGCUAAAUGAAGAAUAUUCGACGUAUUCCUUUGUGUCUUCACAUGCCUCCAAGGUUGAAUUUCUGGGACUCAGAAAUACAGAUACAGCAGCAUCUCCCAUUUCACGGAUGAGGUCUUACCAGGAGCACAGUCUCAAGGACUUAACUUGUCUCCAGCUUGGUCUUGGAAAGAAAUAUUUUAUCCCCGGGUGCAAACACAGAAAACAGGUUUAUGCAUCCAGAAAACAACAACUGCUUCUUUAUCGAGAGCAAGAAAUCUGAAGGCACUCUCAGAUUGCAGAUACG